UUCAAAUUUCAUUUUCAGAGUUUGCGAAAGAAACCCUAGAGAGAGAAACUCUCCUGCCCAACGUUCAAAGCCCGUCACGACUCCACCGUCGUUCGCCAUUGAAUGGCCAUCGGAGGACCACCCAGAGGCUCUUCGCGUCUCUUCUCACCGAUCAUCUUCGUGUCUCUUCCAGCGUCAGUCGUCCCGUUUCCACCGACGACGACCCAAAGGCCUUGCCAGCACCCUUGCCGAUAACGGUCAGGCCACCGUGGCCGUCGUUCCGUCCGUGUUGUCUCCAGCCGCCGGUGUCGAUUGCUUUCUCAUUCCGCCGUCUUACCCUGCAUUUGGCGAGUGAUGGAUUUCAAUAAAGCAAAAGGUGGUCCCAAUCCUCGAUGUCGUUCGUGGUGUGAUACCAAAGUCAUUGUGGAAAUUAAUUCAAAACUCAGAGAAGUUGACCGGAUUCAAAUUGGACAAACUUCAUUCAANUGGCGGGACUUCAAGAGAUUAGGGACAACUAUGUUUCUGAUCCUGAUAAUGUGCGGCGGAAAGAAGUCUUCCAAUAUAUAUAGUUCACGUGUUACAUUUUGACUAAAAAUAUGCAUUUCAAAUAAGUGCCAGAUUGAAACAUGUCGUUUUCGUGCAGUAACUUAGCCUAAACUACCCACUUAGAAUGUCUUUGCUACCACUUUCAUCUCUGCACCAUGACUUCAAACAUAAAAGUUUUUUUGGAGAUGGACUUCAAUAUAAAUGU